UACGGGGGGGGCAAGCGUUGUUCGGAAUUACUGGGCGUAAAGGGCGCGUAGGCGGCCUGCUAAGUCGGACGUGAAAUCCCCCGGCUCAACCGGGGAACUGCCUUCGAUACUGGCUGUCUGGAGGUCGAGAGAGGUGAGUGGAAUUCCGAGUGUAGAGGUGAAAUUCGUAGAUAUUCGGAGGAACACCAGUGGCGAAGGCGGCUCACUGGCUCGAACCUGACGCUGAGGUGCGAAAGCGUGGGGAGCAAACAGG
rnacentral:rRNA from 1 species